AAGAAAUGUCAGGAGACACCUUAAUGCACAUCGAUAGCCAAAAAGAAUUUCCUUGGAAUGUGGAACAGAUAUAAUGGGGAAGUAAGAAGUAGAGAUGAACAUAAAUGCUGUCCAAUUAAAGACGAAAACAAGGAAAAUUUGAGCAAAUUCUAUAGCUAUAAUUCAAAUCGGAAUACGAAGCCUCGGCAACUG